CAGGUUAGGUUAGAAGAAGGGAGAAGGAACAGUUUCAUUACACACCUUACUUAACCCCAAAAGGGUUCUACCUGAAACUAAAAAGGGUUCUCUUAUGGAGACAGCCGAAGAACGCUUUUGGAACCCUUUUUUCUAAGAGUGUGGUAGUAAACCGCAGGGGAUAGAGGUGAUGGGAGAAGAACAGAUGAGGGAGAUGGUGGUCUGUCAUACUGAGGGAGAAGUUGGAUGAUGCAUGCAAAGUCUGAGCAGUGGAACGCAACCUCUGCUCAAGUGUAAAAAGGUGAACCUGCCAGCAGCAUAUUCCAACUGAUUAUGACUUGGGGGCAUACACAAACACACACCUGAGCGGUCUGCCAUGUUAGUGGGUGAAUGUGUGACUCGUUUCCUUUCCUGGAGACGUCAGUCUUCUGCUGGGCUGUAAAAGGAGGUGAGGUGGUUCCGUGUUCACUAGAUCAGAGGACGGUUCACCAGGAACACGGUUGUACUGCUGCCAUCAUACAGUCUGUCUCUCUCUCACAGGAUUACCAUGGAGAGAAACGGUUUGUUUUGCAUCUUCGUCUUGUUGCUACCACUGGCCUUAGACUCUGCAGACAUACCUGUCCUUAACUCAACAAAAGACCUCAGGAACAUUGAGUUUGGCCACAGAUUCCCUCGUCAUGGCCUAAUGCUGCUACACUUCGUCUCUGGCGGCCUAAACGUCGAUAACAACGAUGCACUCAUACCAACGUUCUUACCAGAAAGGGGAGACUGGGGCUUCCAUCACUUUAAUAACUAAAACGUUUUUCCACAACUGCAAGAUCAGAACAGACAGGGUUACUACGAAGUCGGGAAUAUCAACACACCAACAGCAUACUCACUCGAUCCUUAUGUCACUCGCAGCUAUUACCUUACCCCAGGAAACUUAGAGAGGAACAUGGACAGGUUAGUUGUCAGAACAAGCCCCAACAGUCCACUGUUAGAGGCAGUCUACAUCACACAGCA